AUGGAUUGCAGGCUCCUCUACUGGGUGGUCCUUUGUCUCCUGGGGGCAGUUCCCAUGGACACUGGAAUUACCCAGACCCCCAAACACCUGGUAACAGGGUCUGGGAGGAGAGUGACCCUCAAGUGUGAACAACAUCUGGGACAUGAUGCUGUGUACUGGUAUCAGCAGAGCGCUCAGAAGCCACCGAAGCUCAUGUUUGCCUACAGAUAUAAGGAACUCCUUGAGAAUGAGACUGCCUCCGGUCGCUUCUCACCUGAGUGCCCAGACAGCUCCAGGCUCUACCUUCACGUGGACGCCCUGGAGCCCGACGACUCUGCCUUGUAUCUCUGUGCUAGCAGCAGAGACACAGCCCCACACAGCCAAACUCUCCCCGUGCACAAACAUCCUGGGUCUAGCAGGGGGGCCCUGGGACAACCAAGACUAGCUCAACAUCUCCUGUAG